CCAAGUCGAUGAUGUAUAAAUAAAGAAUUGGAUUUGAAAAUAUGAUAAAGGAAAAGACCACAAAAAAUAAGAAAAAUGACAGAACAAAGAGAGAAAGAGAGGAAGAAAAAGCGAGUAAAAGAUUAAGCGAGAGAGAUAGAGCGAAAGAGCGAAUGAGCGAGCGAGCGAGCGAGCAAGAACGCUCUCGCAUUCCGUCACGGGCGUUCGUGGCUGACGGAUGCGUCGUACUCUUGUCGCGAAAAGAAUUUUUAUACUUUUUGAUAAAAUAAUCAAAUCAACGAUUCCGUCGAGGCACAACUCGAUAAAACGAUUCGCGAACGAGUCGAAACAUACGUUUCAGAAUCAGUGAGUCAGAUCUCCUUAGAGGGACUUUCGCGAGAGCAGAUUUAUCCUUUCUCAGGUUUCCUUCCUUCUCGCAACGUUAGAAUCCGGUCCUGCGGGAUGCAGCAGGUUGAUCGUGGAACAUGGAAAUUCUUCUUUCUUCGAUGUUCUACAGGAAGGUUCUAUCUCGCUGUGCAGAGGAGUGACAUCGACUAAUUAAUAAAAUAAAUCAACGGAUGAAGGUGCAAUGACCCCAGUGCAUCGAGGAAAGACGAAAAGGUAGAGAGGGUGAAUUCGAAGGAUUGGAAAACUAUGUAUCAAUGUACAUACUACUUACAUAUCAGUUCAAUCAGUGAUGUAACGAUUUUCUCCAUCGAAGGUAUGUAUGCUGGAUGUUGGAAAUGAUCGAGAAGUAAACAAUCGAUAUGUACUUUGAACGUUCAAGUUAAAUAUUCGACUUACUAUGGAUGACGUCUAAAAAGAUUACAAUCGAGAAGCUAAUCCUUCUCUUACAAACUCCUGUUUUCCCGCCUUAUGACAUCGAAACUUUUCAAGGAUAAAUCAAAGUGCUGGGAUCAUCUUUAUCUAUUCUUCUUCUAUGAAAAUGCUCUUUAUGCUUUUGAUUGUUGCUCAGAAAGCCUUGAAAACAAUACUGGCUUUCGGGCAAUAAUCAUAAUCACGGAAGAGCAAAGAUUCGUCCUCUCGAUCAACGUCUGACUGUCAUUUAAAUCGUCGUUAAACCUGAGAAAGGAACAUUGUCCUCAUUUGCCUGUCAUAAACUCAGCAAAAGCAGAUGUAUGACUUCUUUAUUGCGAACAAUAUAAUAUAGACAUUAAGAUUUAUUAUAAGUUAUUUGUUAAAUGUACUGUGUCUGGGUAUAUAUGGACUUUCCACUCGCAUUAUCAUUGUUUCUGAAAUGUAUGUAUAAUAUGGACAAGUAUCGAUUAUAUUAACAAGGUUAAUUAUAUAAUAAUCCUAUUAAAUUCUAAGUUAUACAAUUGUUUGAAUUCAUCGAUUUUCAUCUCAAAGGGCUCGAUUAUUAUCUCCGAAUGAAAAUAUGUACAUUUUUUAUGUUUGUAAUAAGUAUCACGAAUCUUUUAUACAUAAGUUAGAAAAAUUAUUAUCGUAAUACAAAUAAAUCCUUUACAUAGACCAAUAUGGUGGUCAUAAUAAUUUUCCUAUGCUUGUAACUGAUAAUAUGUAUCGAAAGCUAUAAAUAUUUCUGAAAUAAACAUUUUAUAAUAAUACAUUUAAUCAUAAACUUCUACAUUUCGUUGAAAUCCUUUCCUAGAAAGUGCAAAUUUUACAAAAUGCAAUGUAUAUAGAGAAUUUGUACAUUGAUUUAUAAAAAAUCGAAUAUACUAGUAGCACAGGAAUGUUGAAUCGUCGAUAGAUUUCAACCUACUUGAAUCGAGGUCAAUAUUUACUCAUCUAGAUAUCUAAAUACCAUUUACUUGAACAAAUUAUUGUCUAUCUCGAGCACGUUACUAGGGAACGUAGAAUAUUCCUAUUUCAUGUGCC